UGCAAAGACUUUAUCAAAUUCCUUCUUUUA
rnacentral:piRNA from 1 species